AAGGCCUUCAAUCUUCCCGUUGCUUUUGAGAUCGCGGUAAUCUCAAAUUCUUGAUCGGGCCAAACUAACGAUAGCACAAAAAAGCCGAGCCAUUGUCGAUCGCGGUGCAGGCCACAAUUGGAUCGCUCAAACGAGGGACCAAGCUCGAAAAAAUUCAAUAAAUCAACAGCUCGUCAGCACUAAAAAAUAUUUUGCAAGAAAAAAAUAGCAAAAUGGUUAGCAGCAAUCACGGCGGUCUCGUCAAGGGUCCUUACCAGGACGUCAAAAAGGACAAAUCCUCAACAACCCAACGUCCUCAACAGCAAACUCAAAAUUCGCAGUCGAAGGACACUAAGAACGGGGCAUGGGGACCAGUUUACAAGAACAAACAACACUUCAUCAACAUGCACAUUUGUUAGACAGAUAAUAGUUCAAAGAUCGAAUUAUUUGACAGAUAUGCUCAACGAUAAAAAAAAUAGGAGCAUUCAUCGCUCCUUCGCACUAAAGACGACUAAGCAAACGUGGUGAAAGCGUCACUCCAUUGUUUCUUGCAAUAUUCUUAUUCCUUAAAAAUCGAGUCAUGGCUCCUCGCAUGGCAACAGCCAUUUUUCAUCGAAUGGCUAAAAUUCGUAUUGUUUUUUUUUUUUUUUUUUUUUUUUUACGAGCAAACAUAAAAAGACAAACAAUUUUACUAGUCAAAAAUUAUUCGAUAACGACAAAUUUAUUAAUCAAAUUUGCGAUGAUUUUUUUUCGUCAAAGUUCCCCUAUGACGACCCUACGUGUCUGAAACCCACUGGAAUCAUUGAUGAGAAAUUUCUCGCCGCAGAGGAUGUGUAUUCGAUCACUUAAUUUAAUGAAAUGUAUUGUAAAUUUCUAUUAUUUAUCACUGUGAUUAAAAAUUUUAUGAAUUAUUAAAUAGAAUAUAUUAAUGAAAGAUAUUAAUUGAGGAUUGUUGAAUAAAUCAUCACUUCGAUACGCACAAAACAUUAUUUUUUUCGAAUCAUCCAUUAUACUGGAGACAGUAUUGAAGAAAUCAAUUAUAUAUUUUCACGAGUGAAACCCAAUUUUUAUCUUUUCAAUGUUUUUUGAACGAAUGAUGUUUUUAUCAUUGUAACUUAGAAAUUAAUCGAUCAAAUUACUUCCGGGACUGAUAUCAAAGGAGUUUUGUUUUAUAGAAUAUCGUAAUAUUUCAGAUAAUCCAAUCGAUCGUUUCAAUCUCCGCAAUCUUCGAUUUCGUGUUAUUUUAUGUCAAAAUAAGUGUUGCAAGGAACAAUGAGUGGACAUCCACCGCGACGACAAUGGAUCGGCCAGAUUAACAAGGAAACUAAUUUAGUUAUAAUAACGAAUAUGAACUAACAGAGGGAAAUAAUUGUUGUACGAAAAUUAUUUUUUUAAUAUCAAUUCAAAAUAUACGAGGUCCCUUUACUUCGCUUUCUCACUCAA